rnacentral:rRNA from 1 species
AUUGAACGCUGGCGGCAUGCUUUACACAUGCAAGUCGAACGGUAACAGGCCGCAAGGUGCUGACGAGUGGCGAACGGGUGAGUAAUGCAUCGGAACGUGCCCAGUCGUGGGGGAUAACUACUCGAAAGAGUAGCUAAUACCGCAUACGAUCUAUGGAUGAAAGCGGGGGACCGUAAGGCCUCGCGCGAUUGGAGCGGCCGAUGUCAGAUUAGGUAGUUGGUGGGGUAAAGGCUCACCAAGCCAACGAUCUGUAGCUGGUCUGAGAGGACGACCAGCCACAUUGGGACUGAGACACGGCCCAGACUCCUACGGGAGGCAGCAGUGGGGAAUUUUGGACAAUGGGCGCAAGCCUGAUCCAGCAAUGCCGCGUGCAGGAAGAAGGCCUUCGGGUUGUAAACUGCUUUUGUACGGAACGAAACGGCUCUGGUUAAUACCCGGGGCUAAUGACGGUACCGGAAGAAUAAGCACCGGCUAACUACGUG